AACGAACGCUGGCGGCAGGCCUAACACAUGCAAGUCGAGCGCGCCCUUCGGGGUGAGCGGCGGACGGGUGAGUAACGCGUGGGAACGUGCCCUUUUCUACGGAAUAGCCUCGGGAAACUGAGAGUAAUACCGUAUACGCCCUUUGGGGGAAAGAUUUAUCGGAAAAGGAUCGGCCCGCGUUGGAUUAGGUAGUUGGUGGGGUAAUGGCCUACCAAGCCGACGAUCCAUAGCUGGUUUGAGAGGGUGAUCAGCCACACUGGGACUGAGACACGGCCCAGACUCCUACGGGAGGCAGCAGUGGGGAAUCUUAGACAAUGGGGGCAACCCUGAUCUAGCCAUGCCGCGUGAGUGAUGAAGGCCUUAGGGUUGUAAAGCUCUUUCAGCUGGGAAGAUAAUGACGGUACCAGCAGAAGAAGCCCCGGCUAACUCCGUG
rnacentral:rRNA from 1 species